CUUAAGUGGCGGACGGGUGAGUAACGCGUGGGGAACCUGCCUUGCACCGGGGGAUAACACUUAGAAAUAGGUGCUAAUACCGCAUAAGCGCACAGAGCCGCAUGGCUCGGUGUGAAAAACUCCGGUGGUGCAAGAUGGACCCGCGUCUGAUUAGCUGGUUGGCGGGGUAACGGCCCACCAAGGCGACGAUCAGUAGCCGGCCUGAGAGGGUGAACGGCCACAUUGGGACUGAGACACGGCCCAAACUCCUACGGGAGGCAGCAG
rnacentral:rRNA from 1 species